UUUCGCCGCUCGAUGUGAGCGUGUUUUUAUACAUAUAUAUAAUUUUUCUCCCGCGCGGCCACACAGCAUCAGCUGGGGUUCCCGAAGGUCAGAAAAUAGUUAUUGAUUAAUCUAUUAGAAUAGUUGCCGAGAGAAAAAAAAAACGACGUAAAAUAACAGCGAACCUAUAAAUAGAGGCCGUAACUAGCAGCUGGGAGUUGUUAAACGACUUAGCAUGUGAAAAAGUCGGAAAUGAGGCGCUGGGGAAGGAGCCGGGACUGGCAGCGGCCUGGGCUUAGGUAAAUCCUUCAAGAUUUAACUUCCGCGGAAGCCCGUAGCAGAGCGGGUGGAGGAGGCGUGGAUGCGGCUAGUGCACACCGAGUUUCCUUGGCAAGGAAAAUCAAUGAUGGUGCGAACCGUUUGCAAUGCCAUCUAGACAGCCGUCCGUGAAACCAAGGAGACCCGCGCGAGCUGGUUGCCCAUUGUACCCGGCUGCAACUGUCCGAGCAACACAAUCAUUACUAAAGGAAGGGCUGGCUCUCAGGACUCCCUCGGCGCCGUUGUUCGCUGCCUCACCCUCCCUCGGCCAAGACCUUGCCUGAUCCGUCCAUUCCCUGGUGUCUCAUUGGAACCUCCCUGGAGGAAGGGGUGGGGGGUGAACAACUCCCAGCCGCCAGUUCCAUUUGUUGCGCUUUUUUCAUUCAACACAAUAAAAGUCAAAUUAAUUGA